rnacentral:rRNA from 1 species
GACGAACGCUGGCGGCGUGCCUAAUACAUGCAAGUCGAACGCACUCUCGUUUAGAUUGAAGGAGUUUGCUCCUGAUUGAUAAACAUUUGAGUGAGUGGCGGACGGGUGAGUAACACGUGGGUAACCUGCCCUAAAGUGGGGGAUAACAUUUGGAAACAGAUGCUAAUACCGCAUAAAACCUAACACCGCAUGGUGUAGGGUUGAAAGAUGGUUUCGGCUAUCACUUUAGGAUGGACCCGCGGUGCAUUAGUUAGUUGGUGAGGUAAAGGCUCACCAAGACAGUGAUGAAUAGCCGACCUGAGAGGGUAAUCGGCCACACUGGGACUGAGACACGGCCCAGACUCCUACGGGAGGCAGCAGUAGGGAAUCUUCCACAAUGGACGAAAGUCUGAUGGAGCAACGCCGCGUGAGUGAAGAAGGUUUUCGGAUCGUAAAACUCUGUUGUUGGAGAAGAAUGUAUCUGAUAGUAACUGAUCAGGUAGUGACGGUAUCCAACCAGAAAGCCACGGCUAACUACGUG